rnacentral:tRNA from 1 species
GCCUUCGUGGUGUAGUGGUCAGCACGCUCGACGCGUAACCGAGAGAUCCGUGGUUCGAUUCCCGGCGAAGGAG